AAGGGCAAAUCUCCAAAAUAGCAUCUUUCUAAGUUUAUAUCACAAAAAUAGCACUCAAAAACUAAAUUGGCCAAAAUAGCAUAUUUCUAAGUUUAUCCUUUGAAAAUUUUAAUUUUUUUUAUUUUUCAAAAUUUGAAAUCUUAUCCCCAAAACCUCAUUUUUCAACUCUAAACCCUAAACCCUAAACCCUAAAAUCUAAACCCUAAACCCUAAAAUCUAAACCCUAAACCCUAAACUCUAAACCCUAAACCCUAAACCCUAAAUCCUAAACUCCACCCUU
rnacentral:lncRNA from 1 species